UGCCGCGUGAAUGAUGAAGGUCUUAGGAUUGUAAAAUUCUUUCACCGGGGACGAUAAUGACGGUACCCGGAGAAGAAGCCCCGGCUAACUUCGUGCCAGCAGCCGCGGUAAUACGAAGGGGGCUAGCGUUGCUCGGAAUUACUGGGCGUAAAGGGAGCGUAGGCGGAUAGUUUAGUCAGAGGUGAAAGCCCAGGGCUCAACCUUGGAAUUGCCUUUGAUACUGGCUAUCUUGAGUACGGAAGAGGUAUGUGGAACUCCGAGUGUAGAGGUGAAAUUCGUAGAUAUUCGGAAGAACACCAGUGGCGAAGGCGACAUACUGGUCCGUUACUGACGCUGAGGCUCGAAAGCGUGGGGAGCAAACAGGAUUAGAUACCCUGGUAGUCCACGCUGUAAACGAUGAGUGCUAGUUGUCGGCAUGCAUGCAUGUCGGUGACGCAGCUAACGCAUUAAGCACUCCGCCUGGGGA
rnacentral:rRNA from 1 species